rnacentral:sRNA from 1 species
UGAAAUUUUUCAGUUGUAUAGUGUGUCAC